rnacentral:misc_RNA from 1 species
UCCGAGUUGACCCCGGCAGUCUCCUAUGAGUCCCCACCACAACGUGCUGGCAACAUAGAACGAGGGUUGCGCUCGUUGCGGGACUUAACCCAACAUCUCACGACACGAGCUGACGACAACCAUGCACCACCUGUGAACCGGCCCCAAAAGGGGAAACCACAUUUCUGCAGCGAUCCGGCCCAUGUCAAGCCUUGGUAAGGUUCUUCGCGUUGCAUCGAAUUAAUCCGCAUGCUCCGCCGCUUGUGCGGGCCCCCGUCAAUUCCUUUGAGUUUUAGCCUUGCGGCCGUACUCCCCAGGCGGGGUGCUUAAUGCGUUAGCUGCGGCACGGAAGGCGUCGAUAGCCUCCCACACCUAGCACCCAUCGUUUACGGCUGGGACUAC